CCGCGCGCCACGCCGAGCCCGAGCCCCGGCCGUCAUCUGGCGCCGCCGCGUGGGCGUGGCCGUCUCCGUGUCGCCGAGGCCGCAGGUCCCUUCGACUCCAAGCCCUCGGCGAUGGCUCUUACGGCCGCCAGCCCCCCGGAGGUGGUCCGUGCGGCGCAGAAGGACGACUACUACCGCGGCGGGCUGCGGAGUGCGGCGGGCGACGCCCUGCACAGCCUGGCGGGUGCGAAGAAGUGGCUGGAGUGGAGGAGAGAGCUCGAGCUGGUGUCGGAUGUAGCCUACUUCGGCCUCACCACACUUGCAGGCUACCAGACCCUUGGGGAAGAGUACGUCAGCGUCGUCCAGGUGGACCCGUCCCAGAGCCGAGUGCCCUCCAGGCUGCGCCGCGGGAUCCUGGUGGCUCUGCACACCGUCCUGCCCUACGUGCUGGACAAGGCCCUGCUCCACUUGGAGCACGAGCUGCAGGUGGCCGGCGACAGCACCCGGCCCACGCAGGGCAGCCUGGCGCCCACUGCACGCAGCCAGUCAGCCCCAAGGCGCUGGGUGCGCAGGCGGACGGCCACCCUGACGGAGCAGCAGCAGAGGGCGCUUCUGCAGGCCGCGGGGAUGCUCAGGCAGGUCCUUGGCUGCCUCCGGCGGCUCCACGUUGCCUGGUUCUACAUCCACGGUGCCUUCUACCACCUGGCCAAGAGGUUCACUGGCAUCACCUAUGUAAGUAACUGGUGCCACCUGGACCUGCUCGGUUCUGGCUCAUCAGCAGGGAGCUGGCUUUUCCGGGCCUCUGUCCACGAGCAGUCACAGGCCUGGAGCCAGAACCUUCCAUGGGAAACAUGGGUUGUGUCGGCUCCAUUUUGCCAAAAGGCCCACGGAAGUCUGCUUUCCAUAAACCCUGAAGGUCGGGCUGGUCUGUCUUCCUGCAGCCUGCGCUUGAACUCUGUGCCAGGCCUGCCUCCCACGCCCCUUCCAGGCUGCCCGCCAGAGUCAGGUAUAGGGACCCCGGUGGUGACCCCGCAGCAACCACGAGGCCACCCUGCUGCCAGCAUCCCCACCGGUCUCCACCCUCCACCUGCAGAUGCCCCUUCCCUUCGGGGUCUCAGCUGCCGCCCUUGCUUCCAGAUUCACCCUGAAGGCCUCCCCAAGGGUCUGCAGGCGCCCCGCCCCAGGCCUCGCUGUGCCGGCUCUGUUGGUUGAGGUGUUUGCUGAGCUGCUGCAACAGACACAGGGUGCAUCCAGUCAGGGUGUCAGGCUCCAGGCUCCAGCUGUGUGGCUGACCUGACUGUCCCCACUUCCAGCCAAGGCAAGGAGAUGGACGUGCAGGGCAGGCCCCUCCCCCUCGAGGAUGUGGCCUCAGUGUCCUCAGCUGCAGGAGGGGCCGGGUGGUGCCUCGCUCUGUUCCUUGGACAGGGCCACGCAGCCGUGUCUGCAACACUGAGCCCGCGCCUGUCCACUGGGUGUGCUCCUCAGGCUCGUUUGCCUCCGAGGUCUGGGUGCCUGGCCGUCCCCCUCACCCUGCGGUCCUCCCUGCAGCCAGUGUGACCUGCAGAGUCUGACCCCUGGGCUCUCAUCCUCACUCAGCACUCGGCUCCCCGGGGGACCAACGGGGCCACCACUCAGUGCUCAGAGCCGGCAAGGAGCGUCUGCUCCCCGAGCAGCCAGAGGCCAGUGGUCCCUCUCCAUCCUCCUUGUGCCAGAGGGUGGGCCAGGGCUUCAUUCACCCGGGAGGCCUGGCCCUGGGGCGGUGGGUGCUUUGUGCAGCCGAUCAUGGGACUGUCCCUCCACGUCCUUGGCAGCUCCGCGUGCGCCGCCCGCCUGCCGAGGACCCCAGGGUGCGCACCGGCUACAGGCUGCUGGGGCUGCUGUCCCUGCUGCACCUGGCACUGUCCGCGGGCCUGCAGCUCUACAGCUCCCGGCAGAAGCAGCGCGCCCGGCAGGAGUGGAAGCUGCACCGCGGCCUGUCCCACCGCAGGAGCCAUGUGGACGAGAGAGUGGUCAGCACCGCGUCCCUGUGCACGCUGUGCCUGGAGGAGCGCAGACACGCCACCGCCACGCCCUGCGGCCACCUCUUCUGCUGGGAGUGCAUCACCCACUGGAGUGACACCAAGGCGGAGUGUCCCCUCUGCAGGGAGAAGUUCCUUCCCCAGAAGCUCGUGUACCUGCGGCACUACCGCUGAGCCGACAGCCGGAGGAGGGGGUUCGUUCUCGAGGUUGGUUUGACUUGCGCAGAAACCCUAGACUCUCGCACCUUCUGUUCUUUGUCACAUGAGAUACUGUGCCAGCUGCUUGGGAGGACAACGCCGGCCCUGGCAGUGAACUGGCUAACCCAGGUCCUCCAGACAGGUUCGGACGUGGCCUCCGCGGCUCGCCAGCCCUGGUCUGCAGGGCCCAGCGUGCCUGGGUCACUCAGCUCCCCUCCCUUCCCCAGGCCAGUCACUGCGCGGGAAGGUUCAACACCAGGCAUGGGAGAGGCCGGCCUUGCAGGCCAGGACUGUGUGCGAGCAGGGAACCAGCAGCUCGCCCCCAGGUGUGGUGGUCCGCAGGGCAGGGAGCUGCUGCUGGCCGAGCACAGCUGCUCUCAGGAGCCCUUCCUGCCGCCCGACACGCUCACAGGUGUGCCAGGUUCGUUUCCCGUCCUGGCCUCACGGCACGAAGGCUCUCCUGCUGGGAGGGCCCAGUGGGCUGGUCUUGCCCAGAGGCCAGCUGCCCACACCAGGGCACUGCUGUGUCCCGCCCACUUCCUGCCACCUCCGUUCUUUUCAGUUUUUAAAACUACGCAACUGAUGCCAGGGGUAGGACUCUGCCCUGCGCCGCCCACAGAGGUGCUGAAACGGUCACGGCCCAGCGAACGGAUGCCCGCAGGGAAGGCCUCCCAGAGGCCCGCCUCAGUGCCAGGCCGCUGCGACCACAGCCCUGCCGCAGACAGGCAGGAGCCUCCGGGGGCCCAGAACCACUUCUGCUCCCCAAGUGCAGGCCCUUUCCCUGCACGUCGUAGGCUUGAGUGUUCACUAUGGAAACUGAAAAACAGGCAGAGGCACCUCGAGUGCUGCAGUGUGGUGGUAAAAGUGCCGACUGGAGGGAGUUCCCGUUGUGGCGCAGUGGUUAACGAAUCUGACUAGGAACCAUGAGGUUGUGGGUUCGCUCCCUAGCCUUGCUCAGCAGGUUAAGGAUCUGGCAUUGCCGUGAGCUAUGGUGUAGGUGGCAGAUGAGGCUCGGAUCUGACGUUGCUGGGGCUCUGGCUUAGGCUGGUGGCUACAGCUCUGAUUAGACCCCUAGCCUGGAAACCUCCAUAUGCCGUGGGUGCAGCCCCAGGAAAGACAAAAAAAAAAAAAAAAAAAAAAAAAGUACUGACUGGACAGCGUUUACAUGUGGGCUGAAAAUGUAGGUCCAGUUCCCAUCAUGGCUCAGUGGUUAGCGAACCUGACUGGCAUCCAUGAGGACAUGGGUUUGAUCCCUGGCCCUGCUCAGUGGGUUAAGGAUCCAGUGUUGCUGUGGCUGUGGUGUAGACAGCAGAUGCAGCUCUGAUUCAACCCCUAGCCUGGUAACUUCCAUAUGCUGCAGGUGCAUCCCUAAAGAGACUAAAUAAAAGAACAUUCAGGCCCAGGUAUAAAAAAGAUCUUAAUACGGCCUCUUAAAAGUAAGAGGAGGUGCUUCCGCUGUGGCGCAGUGGGUUCGUGAACCAGCUUGCUUCUUGGAGGCACAGGUCCAGUCCCCAGCCCAGAAAUUUCCAUAUGCUGUGUGUACAGCCAAGAAAGCAAGCAAGCCAGAGGAGCUGGUUCGGAUGCAAAAGUCGGCAGAAAGAAGUGCCAGGCGAUAAAGACACUGGGAGCAGGGAGCGAGAACCGCCAGCCUAAAGACCUGGGAGAAAGCACACCUAUUUGUCAUCAGCUUCUGGGCCUGGGGACCGUGACGGCCCCACCCUCGGCAACAGGGUCUGGGGAGGAGGCGUCUCUGGCCAGGCUUCCUGUGCAGCAGGCUGCAGCGUUUCAGACAAAGACUACACGAGAGCGGGAACACGACCUUUAAUAAAGUUGGGACUGAAAAGUCA